rnacentral:tRNA from 1 species
GCUGCAGUAGCACAUUGGUUAAAUCACUCAAUUUGAACGAUUCCAGGUUCGACUCCUGGCUGCAGCA